rnacentral:rRNA from 1 species
GGACGGGUGAGUAAUGUCUGGGAAACUGCCUGAUGGAGGGGGAUAACUACUGGAAACGGUGGCUAAUACCGCAUAACGUCGCAAGACCAAAGAGGGGGACCUUCGGGCCUCUUGCCAUCAGAUGUGCCCAGAUGGGAUUAGCUUGUUGGUGAGGUAACGGCUCACCAAGGCGACGAUCCCUAGCUGGUCUGAGAGGAUGACCAGCCACACUGGAACUGAGACACGGUCCAGACUCCUACGGGAGGCAGCAGUGGGGAAUAUUGCACAAUGGGCGCAAGCCUGAUGCAGCCAUGCCGCGUGUAUGAAGAAGGCCUUCGGGUUGUAAAGUACUUUCAGCGGGGAGGAAGGUGUUGUGGUUAAUAACCGCAGCAAUUGACGUUACCCGCAGAAGAAGCACCGGCUAACUCCGUGCCAGCAGCCGCGGUAAUACGGAGGGUGCAAGCGUUAAUCGGAAUUACUGGGCGU